GGAGUCUGGACCGUGUCUCAGUUCCAAUGUGGCUGAUCGUCCUCUCAGACCAGCUAUAGAUCGUCGGCUAGGUAGGCCGUUACCCCACCUACUACCUAAUCUUCCGCGGGCCAAUCUUUCGGCAAUUAAUCUUUCCCCCUCAGGGCUUAUGCGGUAUUAGCAGUCGUUUCCAACUGUUGUCCCCCACCAAAAGGCAUGUUCCCACGUGUUACUCACCAGUGCGCUGCUCUCAUAGUCAAUAGCAAGCUACCAACUAAUCCCGCUCAACUUGCAUGUGUUAAGCCUGCCGCCAGCGUUCGUU
rnacentral:rRNA from 1 species